AGGUCGCUUCUGAAAAAGAGCCGCAUAGGUCAAUGGGUCUUACCGGGUAAAAUAAAAUCGUUUAUAGUUUUUUUUAUAGUUUUCCCUUUUCUGUCCCAUCCACUCCCUUGCCCUGUUCAGGUCCCAGACUCAAAACCUUACUUUUUUCAUCAAUCACGUACAAUGGGCUGCCUCGACGUCUAACAGGAUGAUUAUCCCGACUGUUUUGAGCAGUGGACUUGAGGAUCUCACCAUGAGGAAGGGGUACACGAGGCUGACGGCUAGCAGGCUGAGGGAGAUCACCGAUCCGCUCAGCAUGAAGGCUGCAGGACGAGCCUCCUGCGUGAACAGCUCCGCGGCCAAGAUGGCCGUCACUCCACCUGGGGUGGCGCGCACGCGGGUCAGAGGUUCUCGGCUCACCGGAGGAAGUUCUGCAAGGCGACCCAGCGACCCAAGGGGCAAGUGGCGGUGAAGAGUUCGCAGAGCCCCGUGCCGAGGUUCACGUAGGGGACGCUUUCGGCAGCGAUGCCCGCGGCAACAAACACGUACUCGGCGUACGAGUAGAGCUGUGGAUGCACACGAACGCUCACACGUGCCAUCGGUUCAGCGACUACGGUGUGCAGUACGGCAAAUGCGUGUGAUUAAAAGCGGACUCUCACCGCUGUGAGGCCGCUGAGCUGCUGGCCGGCGCUCAGCACCACGAUGGAGGUGAUCUGCCAGCGUACGGAGCGGUCUUGCAGCAGCUUGAGCAGAGACACCGGCCGCCCGGCCACAGCCUGCCUCUCGGCCUCCAUGUCCUGCAGCUCGCUCCUCAGACGAAUCGGUGGACCUCGGAGCGAGUGGGCGGAGGUGACGGCGACAGUCUCACCGGCCAACGCGCCGUGGCGGUCUCCGCGGUCGAUGAGCA